AAAUCAUUCUAAGCUGUAUCUAGAAAAUUUCAUGCUAAGUAUAGUUGAAAAAAAUUUGAAUAGCACUACAAAAAGGACAAACCUCAAAAGGUGUGAACACAAUUUUCCAUAGGGAACACAAACUAUAGGGAAAAGCACAAACUAUGGCGCAGUUUCCGAAGAAAUUCCAAGCUCACAGCCAAGAUGCCACCACCACUCCCUUGGACUUCCUGGCCUUCAGAACUGUGACCCGAAUGUGCUGCUGUUUCUUGUGAAUUGCCCAGGUAUUCUGUCACUGAAGCACAAACCUGACCGAGAUUACUGCUUUGCUUUCUCUAUGG
rnacentral:lncRNA from 1 species